rnacentral:misc_RNA from 1 species
GUGGAGUUAGAAUUACCUUGGGGUCCAAAUUGAGUAGAAUCCUUCUCACAGGGGGAUUCCUUUGAGGGAGAAUCAAUUGAAUUUGGUAUGCUGUCCAUCAAUGAGCCAUUCUGCAAAACUUCAUGAACUUCAAUGACACCAGAUUCAGAUUCUAGUGAGCUCUGAGGCACCAUCAAAGAAUUAUCUUCCUUUGCAUCAGUUAAGAGGCUCUCCUCUUUCCUCUCAACAUCAGUU